rnacentral:lncRNA from 1 species
ACAGAGAGUAGAAGAAUUUAAUCAAUAUUUAGCCAAUCUUAGUGAGCAUUAUGACAUACCUAAGGUCGGUCCUGGGUAAGGUUGCAAGAUGUCGUGUUCUCAGUCUCGAUUGGAAGUUGGUGUUGGCGUUUAUGCUCAAGGUUGGCAAUCUGUGAACAAUUUCUCACGUAAUUUUGUAUCAUUUUAGUGUACGUUUGGAUUUGGAUUUACACUUUGUAAUGAAAUGAAUAGUCAUACGUAUUGAAAUGGUGCAUUUGGCAUCCUAUGGUUCAGUAACUUUUAAUGAUGACAUUAUUAAUCUAAAUUAUUUUGAGGCUUCUAUAUGUGGAGUGCAGGAGUAUUUUCUGCGUGAGUGUUUGUGCUUUUAGAAGUCUCAUCUAUGUUUCUUGAGUAAUUGAGUUGUUCGACGACCCCAAAGUUUGUGGCCAAGACCGAAUCGUGUUGAUGCUAGUUAACUGAUCAAUGUGUUGUAGCAAAUUAUACUGCUCAGUGUUGUGAUCAAGAGUUUCAGACUGGCGCAAGAAUAUCAUAGUGGUACCGCUGAUGAUGAAUACGGCCAAGGUGGGUGCUGAUUUUUUAUCCUUGGCUGAAAGUACUCGCCUUUACCCCACCGUCACGUAAACCUAACUCCCCAAAAUUGCACGUCGUCUGCACGAAUGCAAUGACACAAAAACCUCAACCCCUGAGAAUGACCCUGAAAAAAAA